rnacentral:rRNA from 1 species
GUGUCAGCCGCCGCGGUAAUACGUAGGGGGCUAGCGUUAUCCGGAAUUACUGGGCGUAAAGGGUGCGUAGGUGGUUUUUUAAGUCGGAAGUGAAAGGCUACGGCUCAACCGUAGUAAGCUUUUGAAACUAGAGAACUUGAGUGCAGGAGAGGAGAGUAGAAUUCCUAGUGUAGCGGUGAAAUGCGUAGAUAUUAGGAGGAAUACCAGUAGCGAAGGCGGCUCUCUGGACUGUAACUGACACUGAGGCACGAAAGCGUGGGGAGCAAACAGGAUUAGAUACCCGCGUAGUCC